UUGUGUUUGAUCCUGGCUCAGAUUGAACGCUGGCGGCAUGCCUUACACAUGCAAGUCGAACGGCAGCACGGGGGCAACCCUGGUGGCGAGUGGCGAACGGGUGAGUAAUACAUCGGAACGUGUCCUGGAGUGGGGGAUAGCCCGGCGAAAGCCGGAUUAAUACCGCAUACGCUCUGAGGAGGAAAGGGGGGGAUCGCAAGACCUCUCGCUCAAGGGGCGGCCGAUGGCAGAUUAGGUAGUUGGUGGGGUAAAGGCCUACCAAGCCGACGAUCUGUAGCUGGUCUGAGAGGACGACCAGCCACACUGGGACUGAGACACGGCCCAGACUCCUACGGGAGGCAGCAGUGGGGAAUUUUGGACAAUGGGCGCAAGCCUGAUCCAGCAAUGCCGCGUGUGUGAAGAAGGCCUUCGGGUUGUAAAGCACUUUUGUCCGGAAAGAAAACUUCUGUCCUAAUACGGCGGGGGGAUGACGGUACCGGAAGAAUAAGCACCG
rnacentral:rRNA from 1 species